UACGGAGGGGGCUAGCGUUGUUCGGAAUUACUGGGCGUAAAGCGCGCGUAGGCGGCUUUGUAAGUUAGAGGUGAAAGCCCGGAGCUCAACUCCGGAACUGCCUUUAAGACUGCAUCGCUAGAACGAUGGAGAGGUGAGUGGAAUUCCGAGUGUAGAGGUGAAAUUCGUAGAUAUUCGGAGGAACACCAGUGGCGAAGGCGGCUCACUGGCCCGGUACUGACGCUGAGGUGCGAAAGCGUGGGGAGCAAACAGG
rnacentral:rRNA from 1 species